UCUAAAAUUACCAUUGGUUUGGGGUUUUUUUUUUUUUAAGUCCCUAUGUCAUUUAUUCUGAAAUUUCAAAAAACAUCAAGAGGGGGCACAAGAUUGUUUUAACGUGUGUCAGGAGGGGGUGCAAGUUUGAAAGACUGAGACAUCCCACAAAUGUGUCUGCUUCUGCUGGGGGCACGCUCCCCACUCCCUUGUGUCCCCAAAAAGAAUGCAGAAGGGGUGAGCUGGGGUUUCCUUUCCUUGCCGUUCUCCUUGCGAGGGUAACAAAUAGCCCUCCAGCUGCGUGAGAAAAUCACUUUCAUCUUCCUCAUUUUAUGUGAUCCUUGUAAGAUCUCUGCGAGAUGGGUGGGAGCACAACUGAAUUCUACAAAUAUUCACUGAAGGCGAACCUAAGAGGCACUGUGCUCAGCGGACAAGGACCCUGGGCCCUAAGAGAUCCAGAGUUUCUAACUUAAGCCCCCUACAUACAAGCCUUCAAGAUAAGAGCUUUCAAAGAGACGCACGUGUGUCUGCUUCCAGCAAGGAGCCAGAACCUGAGCCAUCAAAGUCAGGUGUGGGUGAAUCUGCAGCUUGCCCUCCGUCUCCGACUGCUGACAAUCCUUCAGCUCCAGCGUCUCCCUCCUCCAGUCAGUAACUCUUCCUGCCUGUUCGCUCGAUGCCAGCCCCUGUACGUCAGCUGCUGUAGUGUACUACUGUACUCAUCAAGACUGCGAGAUAUCUCCUCACCCUUAUCUUGCAUCUGAAUCGCAGAGCUGGGGCAUGCCACCGCUGGUGGUGAUACAGAGGUCCCCGACUCCCAACAGAGGGCCUUCGUCUGGUGCUGCUGCGGGACCAGCCUGCAAUGAGCCAGGUUUUCCCUGUGUGAGAGCAC